AUUGGAGCCGGUGGGAUUUACGUGUGCUUCAUCACUCAGGAAUUGGAGUGUGUGGCUGCAGGAAGUGUUUAGUAGAGUUAGUUUGCAGAAGAUACCAAGUGGCUACAGAAAGAAAUGGGCUUAGAAUGAGGUACUGUUCGAGUACUAUUCGAACUCAAAUUACAUUACAGUUAUUGGCUUGCUUCGUAGAGAUCACAUUACAUAAAGAACAAGGGGUUGACGCUGGUAUACGAAGUGCAGAGCUAAUGCAUCAAACAUCGAACCAAGCGUACACGAACGUACGUGAUGCGAUGAGCUUUUUGCCGAUGGCCCGCAAUGGCACGCGAUAUUGAUAAACCGCCGAGUGUGGAGGAUUGACAACUCGUAUUUAAACCACCACAACAGCAUUGCGCGUGUCUUUAAUAUGUUAGAGGUAGGUGGAGCUCUUCCUUUUCAUUUUUUGUUUGCGCUUUAAAUGCUUUAACCUUUGCUUGUUUGUUUUUCGUCAUACAACAAUGCAAAGUUAGUAAAUAGUGAUUUUAUUCUUCCCAUAACGUUGUUAAUGUUUUGACUGCACUAAUUAGUUGUUUCAAGUAGUUUCCAAAAAAUGACUCCAUUAUCUGUCAGUGCGCAUGUGUGCAUGUGUAAAACUGAAAUGUAUAUUAUGUGAUUAAAAUGUAAUUAAGCGAGAUUUAAUGUUGGUUUUGAUCAGAUAAAACAUUUGUAGAUUUUGUGUG